rnacentral:rRNA from 1 species
UACCCGCUGGAAUUAAGCAUAUCAAUAAGCGGAGGAAAAGAAACCAACAGGGAUUGCCUCAGUAACGGCGAGUGAAGCGGCAACAGCUCAAAUUUGAAAUCUGGCCCUAGGCCCGAGUUGUAAUUUGGAGGAUGCUUUUGGUGCGGUGCCUUCCAAGUUCCCUAGAACGGGACGCCAGAGAGGGUGAGAGCCCCGUACAGUUGGACACCAAGCCUUUGUAAAGCUCCUUCGACGAGUCGAGUAGUUUGGGAAUCGCUCAAAAUGGGAGGUAUAUUUCUUCUAAAGCUAAAUACCGGCCAGAGACCGAUAGCGCACAAGUAGAGUGAUCGAAAGAUGAAAAGCACUUUGAAAAGAGGGUUAAACAGCACGUGAAAUUGUUAAGGGAAGCGCUUGUGACCAGACUUGCGUCCGGUGAAUCACCCAGCUCUCGCGGCUGGGGCACUUCGCCGGCUCAGGCCAGCAUCAGCUCGCUGUCGGGGACAAAAGCUUCAGGAACGUAGCUCUCUCGGGAGUGUUAUAGCCUGUUGCAUAAUACCCUUCGGCGGGCUGAGGUACGCGCUCCGCAAGGAUGCUGGCAUAAUGGUCAUCAGCGACCCGUCUUGAAACACGGGACCAAGGA